UACAGAGGUCCCAAGCGUUGUUCGGAUUCAUUGGGCGUAAAGGGUGCGUAGGUGGCGCUGUAAGUCGGGUGUGAAAUUUCGGAGCUUAACUCCGAAACUGCAUUCGAUACUGCGGUGCUUGAGGACUGGAGAGGAGACUGGAAUUCAUGGUGUAGCAGUGAAAUGCGUAGAGAUCAUGAGGAACACCGGUGGCGAAGGCGGGUCUCUGGGCUGACACUGACGCUCAUGCACGAAAGCGUGGGGAGCAAACAGG
rnacentral:rRNA from 1 species